rnacentral:rRNA from 1 species
GACAGAGGUCCCGAGCGUUAGGCGGAAUCACUGGGCUUAAAGCGUGUGUAGGCGGACUUCUAAGUGCCUUGUGAAAUCCCUCGGCUUAACCGGGGAACUGCGUCCGAUACUGGUUGGCUUGAGUUUGGGAGAGGGAUGCGGAAUUCCAGGUGUAGCGGUGAAAUGCGUAGAUAUCUGGAGGAACACCGGUGGCGAAGGCGGCAUCCUGGACCAAUACUGACGCUGAGGAGCGAAAGCCAGGGGAGCAAACGGG